rnacentral:rRNA from 1 species
UACGUAGGGUGCAAGCGUUGUCCGGAAUUAUUGGGCGUAAAGAGCUCGUAGGCGGUUUGUUGCGUCGGCUGUGAAAUCCCGAGGCUCAACCUCGGGUCUGCAGUCGAUACGAGCAAACUAGAGUGUUGCAGGGGAGACUGGAAUUCCUGGUGUAGCGGUGAAAUGCGCAGAUAUCAGGAGGAACACCGGUGGCGAAGGCGGGUCUCUGGGCAACAACUGACGCUGAGGAGCGAAAGCGUGGGUAGCAAACGGG